rnacentral:rRNA from 1 species
AUUGAACGCUGGCGGCAUGCCUUACACAUGCAAGUCGAACGGUAACGCGGGGCAACCUGGCGACGAGUGGCGAACGGGUGAGUAAUGCAUCGGAACGUGCCUGGUAGUGGGGGAUAACUGCUCGAAAGAGCAGCUAAUACCGCAUACGACCUGAGGGUGAAAGGGGGAGUCGCAAGACCUCUCGCUAUCAGAGCGGCCGAUGUCGGAUUAGCUAGUUGGUGGGGUAAAAGCCCACCAAGGCGACGAUCCGUAGCUGGUCUGAGAGGACGACCAGCCACACUGGGACUGAGACACGGCCCAGACUCCUACGGGAGGCAGCAGUGGGGAAUUUUGGACAAUGGACGCAAGUCUGAUCCAGCCAUGCCGCGUGCGGGAAGAAGGCCUCGGGUUGUAAACCGCUUUUGUCAGGGAAGAAAUCUUCUGGGCUAAUACCCUGGGAGGAUGACGGUACCUGAAGAAUAAGCACCGGCUAACUACGUGCCAACAGCCGCGGUAAUACGUAGGGUGCAAGCGUUAAUCGGAAUUACUGGGCGUAAAGCGUGCGCAGGCGGUUAUGCAAGACAGGUGUGAAAUCCCCGAGCUCAACUUGGGAACUGCACUUGUGACUGCAUAGCUAGAGUACGGUAGAGGGGAGUGGAAUUCCGCGUGUAGCAGUGAAAUGCGUAGAUAUGCGGAGGAACACCGACGGCGAAGGCAGCUCCCUGGACCUGUACUGACGCUCAUGCACGAAAGCGUGGGGGAGC